GAGGAGGAGGACGAUGACGAUGAUGACGAUGACGACGAUGACGAUGAUGACGACGAUGAUGAAGACGCCGAUGACGACUCACUGUCCACCAACAACGGCAACAACCGCCGCCCAUGACCGCCCACGACCGCCCACGACCGCCCGCGACCGACCACAACCGCCCAAAACCGCCCGCGACCGCCCACAACCGACCGCCACAACCGCCCAAAACCGCCUACAACCGCCUGCAACCGACUGCCCGCGACCGCCCACGAUCGACCGACCGACCGCCUACAACCGCCCACAACCGCCUGCAACCGACCACCGCGACCGCCCACAACCGCCCACAACCGCCUACAACCGACCGCCCACAACCGCCCGCAACCGCCUACAACCGCCUACAACCGACCGACCGACCGCUUGCUGCGCUCCGCCACCGCCAGCGGCCACUGCCAUCGCGGGGAGAGGAGAGGUCACCAUCGGAGGAGAGGUCACCAUCGGAGGAGAGGUCACCAUCGCGGGGAGAGGAGAGGUCACCAUCGGAGGAGAGGUCACCAUCGCGGGGAGAGGAGAGGUCACCAUCGGAGGAGAGGUCACCAUCGCGGGGAGAGGAGAGGUCACCAUCGGAGGAGAGGUCACCAUUGGAGGAGAGGUCACCAUCGCGGGGAGAGGAGAGGUCACCAUCGGAGGAGAGGUCACCAUCGCGGGGAGAGGAGAGGUCACCAUCGGAGGAGAGGUCACCAUUGGAGGAGAGGUCACCAUCGCGGGGAGAGGUCACCAUCGGAGGAGAGGUCACCAUCGCGGGGAGAGGAGAGGUCACCAUCGGAGGAGAGGUCACCAUCGCGGGGAGAGGAGAGGUCACCAUCAGGACAGAGGAGAGGUCACCAUCGGAGGAGAGGUCACCAUCGAGACAGAGGAGAGGUCACCAUCGGAGGAGAGGUCACCAUCGGAGGAGAGGUCACCAUCGAGACAGAGGAGAGGUCACCAUCGGGACAGAGGAGAGGUCACCAUCGGGACAGAGGAGAGGUCACCAUCGGGAUUCGCCAGAUGCCGGCCGCCAUGACGGAUGAACGCCAUGUCCGUCAUGUCCGCCAUGUACAACAUGGCCGCCAUGGCCGCCAUGUCCAACAUGGCCGCCAUGUCCAACAUGUCCGCCAUGUCCGUCAUGGCCGCCAUGACCAACAUGGCCGCCAUCUCCAACAUGUCCAACAUGCCCGCCAUGUCCAACAUGGCCGCCAUCUCCGCCAUGGCCGCCAUCUCCAACAUGGCCGCCAUCUCCGCCAUGGGCAACAUGGCCGCCAUGGCCGCCAUCUCCAACAUGGCGGCCAUGUCCAACAUGUCCGUCAUGUCCAACAUGGCCGCCAUGUCCGUCAUGGCCGCCCUCGCGUCAGCGAUUGGACCAGCUCCCGACGAGAAUCGAUGCCCAGCCCGGCCGCCUUUGUCUCCCCAAGCGCCGACGCUCUGCACACCAACCACGCCGGAUGCGUCGUUUUUGUUUUGUUAAGGCCGAGUCGACCUAGAGGGGGUGUGCGCUAGUGGGGAGG